AUAAUAACGUGGAAUCGUAUCUGCCAAUUAAGGAAGUGUGUCCUGCUAAUGAUAUUUAACCGUAUUAGCAUGAGCACACAAAGUCACCUAUUACCUCCAGCAUCGUAAAUAGUCAUAAUGAGUAAUGUAAAUAAGCACAGCCAUAAAACCCAGGGUAUGACAUGUCUUUAUUUCCUCCGGUCAAUAAUUUCUGGGGGUACAAAAAGUGCUUUGUGCAAACGUGGGCUCCACAAUCGUUCUUCUUCUGCACGUUUAUCACAGCGAGUGGAUUAUCCUGUAGGUUUUAUCAUGCCUUACCUCCUGAGCUUAGUGCAGGUUGUCCUGUUAUCAGUGCUUCUCUUCCAAUACACGUCCACAUUCCCAUCAGGGGCCAGAAAUGGGGUGACUGAUGAGAGCUUCAUAAGCUGGGACAGUCCUUCCUGCAGAAGAUGUUUGUUUCCAAGAGAAAGCGCAGAAGAAGAUGAAUCUGCUGCAGACGAUAGAGGGUACAGAAGAUCUGAAUUGCAGACCAGACAGUUGGGAGAUAUUGAGUUCACCAGCCGGCAUGCUGAGCUGCUACAAUCUAAAGCCAAGCACUCUUCUCUCUGCUCCUUCCUCCGCCGCAUGCAGAACAGCAAGAAGAGUGGACUCACUGGGGACACAGAACACGUGAACACACUAAUGAAGCAAUAUAUGUGUGCCAGCGUGUACCAGUGACACACCCAACCCAGCGUUAUACAACACUACAGAACAUAUGAAGACAAUAAACCAACUGUAUUUUAAGACUGAGUGCUGAUUUAUGAUUGUAUGGGUUACACUGCUGUAUGCUUUAAACGAAAUCAUUUUUUUUCAAAAAAAUCUCACAAAUAUUCCAAUUUGUUAUGUGCAGGAAAAAAAAAACCCUGUCAAAUACUGUCAGAAACCUGUCAAACUGCUAUGAAAAUAGAAUAAAAUGAAAGAGGUAAAAUGAAACCAUCGUCUUCUGUGUUACUUUAAGCUCUCUAACGGCAAAGAUAGAAAUAACGUUAUAGCCAACGACCUUAAAGCACCAUCGCAGACUAGUUUAAAUAAUACGACAGAAGAAAUAAG
ensembl:lncRNA